GUUGGGUACGGUGACCUGGUGCCGCGAACGUGGCUGGGGAUGAUCGUGGGUGCGAUCACGGCCAUCAUCGGCGUGCUGACGCUUGCUCUGCCUGUUCCCGUCAUCGUCAACAAU
rfam:Strongylocentrotus purpuratus Contig73104_fixed, whole genome shotgun sequence.